rnacentral:tRNA from 1 species
GCCUUCGUGGUGUAAUGGUCAGCACGCUCGACGCGCAUUCGAGAGGUCCGUGGUUCGAGUCCCGUCGAGGGCA